rnacentral:rRNA from 1 species
UACGGAGGGUGCAAGCGUUAAUCGGAAUUACUGGGCGUAAAGCGCACGCAGGCGGUCUGUCAAGUCGGAUGUGAAAUCCCCGGGCUCAACCUGGGAACUGCAUUCGAAACUGGUAGGCUUGAGUAUCGGAGAGGGGGGUAGAAUUCCAGGUGUAGCGGUGAAAUGCGUAGAGAUCUGGAAGAAUACCGGUGGCGAAGGCGGCCCCCUGGACGAAGACUGACGCUGAGGUGCGAAAGCGUGGGGAGCAAACAGG